GUUUAUUCCCAUUUCGGCAGCACAUAUACUAAAAUUGGAACGAUACAGAGAAGAUUAGCAUGGCCCCUGCCUAUUCUCUUUUACAUCAGCAAAAACCCAAUUUUUA